CAUAAUCAUAUGAAAGGAUGAGCACCGAACUCGUUUUGAAAAUGAGGCCAAGGGUAAUUUGGAAAUGGGCUAGUUUCCGGGAAUGAUUUUUAUUCCCCGGGUUUAAAAUAAAAAGCCCAGUACUCUUCUGGAGAGAUGAUUUGUAGGAUACUGUUGCGAGAACGAAGAGCUCUUGGUAUGAGCACUUUCUAAUCAAAAACAACGAAUUACUUAGUUGUCAACAGAUCUUGUUGUAGACACGAUGGCGCGAGUGAAUCACACUCACUCACUCACCCAAUACAAUGAUUUCUUCUUAAUUCGAUUUGACCAAGGCAAGUGGAAACGAAACUUGAAGUAAUUUAAUUAAUGUUCAUAUGCAAGAGAGAUGAAGUGAUUAAAAUUGUACGUAGAAAAUAUUAGCUUUCAUGUAGAAAUCAAAACUGUUCCAAGCAUUCAUGAACCAUUUUCAUUUCCUUUUGCUUGGCAGUCGUUCCAUUCUUAUUUUAAGUUAUGAGAAGAUCCAUCGUGUACAGAAGAUAGCGCUCUUCAAAAGCCACGGAAAAUUUGUCUGUUAUUUUUGGGACGGAAGUGAUUGCCUUUUACAAGUCGUAGAUUUCUCGGAAUUUACCUGUGUCUGCCAAAUCAGCUAUUCCCUUCAGGUCGAUUAUGUUACAUUUUAUUCCCCAUUGAAGAAACUCAACCUGAACAACACGUUUUAAGGUUAAUUUGUAUGUUUACGAUCUUAUUCCUAUCUCUGAAUAACAACACGGUUAAAGGAAUGACAUUUAAUUAACCUUAUCUUCAGCUUUUAGGAGCGAACAACCAUAAAAUAAUUAAAGUUAUAUUAUUUUUCGUGAGUAGGAAAAAUGCACGCCAUAAACUGUCUGCGUUUUCUUCGGAUAUCUUUAAUAUCACCUUCAAAUAAUAGUGGUUUGAGAGAUUGUUUUGAACAGAAACCGACGAAGAAAGAGGAAUAAUGCACGGAAGUAAGAAAAAGUUUGACUUGAUUCUGAAUCGCUUAUCUGUGUCUUCACAGAUUGUCUGUAAAAACAAAGCCAAAAUUUGUCUCCAUAGCAAUCAUGACGAAGGUGGCCCAGUGAAAAGAGGUGCUUUGUUGUCAAUCGAUUGUCAAAGUUGUGGAGAAGAUUUACCAGCAGGUGUUUGCAUGUGGGAUUCUGAAAACACUUUACCCUUUUGUAUCGGCGGACACACGCUGGCCUCAAUGCCUUGCAGAAACCACUUAAAUUUGUCCUCCUGGCUUUACGCUGUCGUUCUUGGCAUUAAAUUGAAAUGUGUACUCUGCAGUUGGGUUCUCGCCUUUAAACAAUGCAUCGAUUCGCUGGUAAAUUCUCCCAACGGCGCAGAAGCCAAGACAAAUAUUCGAAUUUUCGCAAUACCCAAAUUAGAAGGAGCCCUUCGUACAUAAAUUUAUCAGCGUAUCACGGACAUGGGCAGCAGUCGAAGUAUACCGGGAGAAAUCGCAGUCUUGAACUCUCUUGAAUAUUCAGUGUCGAAUUUUUUAACCAACUAGGAGAGACUUUAGAAAAAGAUAACCACCGAUUCACGCCAGUAAUUUUUUUAAAGCAGUUUUAAUAACAGGGCUGAAUAAGUGAUCGAUAAAUCAAACGGCGCCGGCGACAGUUUUCCGCAAUCGGGACAGUCUUAAUUCUCCAUGAGGAAAGCUGGAAAAUGGAGCCUGCAGCCAGCAAUGAGACGGCUAAACAAGAAAACGACGGCGACGGCGCUGAUCCAGAAGAACCUAUCGAAGAAGAUGAAUUUCAGAGAUGCUCUAGGAAAGGCCGAAGGGAUGCCUGCCCGGACAUUCACUGCAAGUGCGGCGAUUCUAAACAAAGUGGACGGAAAAACCUGGAAACAGCCAUGGCGACGUUUGGGAGUCGCCUUCAAGCUCACUGAAAGUCGGACAAAGCAGAGAGAUAUGCACUAUUACUUCGCCAUUUCCAGAAAGAACUGGAGGGUUCUUGCUUUUGUUUUUAUUUUAUUUCAGGAGCAGGUGAUGAUUGUCUAAAGAAGUACGAAAUAUUCAUAUUCAUUGUCGAAGUGAACUCUUCAAGCGAUCUGAUAUACAGAAAUAUUUUAUAUCAUGUGUUAUUAAACUUGAUUAGCGCAGAGCAAUUGUUGCUGGCGUGGUAUAAAUAUAUAUCUAUAUAUAAAAAAAUUUUGACGAUUUCGCACAGCGCUCUUUUAAAUACGGAAUUUUUUAGCCGUAUGCUACCUUUAAAAUCUCAGUUCUUAGAAAACUUUACUCCAUUAGGCCUCUUUUCAACAUGGAUAUUGCAUACCAGUUAAAAAACAUUAUCUCAAAUAAAGUACCUUUAUCUUGGACUUA